UGAAGGAGUCUUGGUCAUAAAAAUCUUUAUGGUAGAAGCUUAUGAAGGAAUCUCUGAUUUGCAUGAGACUUAAAGAUAUCAUUUUUGGUGUAUUCUUAAAAGAACUCAUUUGAACUUCAAACAUUGAAGUCUGGCUAUCAAUUGAUUAAAGAGAAUAGAGAUCAUGAAGCAACACUUUGAAAAAGGUGGAAGUCAACUAUCGUAUGUAAUUUUCUUUUAUUGUUUCUAUCUCUUUCAUAAUACACGUAUUAGAAUUUUGCUGGCUAGCAUAAGAUUGUGCCCAUUUGAACUCAGAAAAUAAUAGAAUCAAAAUUAAUUAUUUCUAAUAUUUCUCAUA